GCUGGACAGUAGCUCAACUGGUGAGAGCGCCAGAGUACCGAUCUGGAGGUUUCGGGUUCGACUUCCUUCGGCAGCC
rnacentral:tRNA from 1 species